ACAGAAACUUUUGUUGUUCCUCGCUUAAAACCAUUUUAGUGUCAUGACAUAUAUGCAUGUAUUUGUGCCGCCACUGAUAAGAAUUUCCAAUCCAAUCCAAUUCAAAUGAUUAACUCAUUCCCUCAAGUUGCAUCAUAACAUACGAGCUUAUACGAGGAAAGUUUGAUAUGUCGUUGACUUUUCGAACAUCCUGCGCAGUAAUUUGAAAUGCAAUGCUGUUUUUAGAAAGAAAGAUUUAUAAAAGCCGGCCAGACUGGCCAUUUAAACGGCGCAAACCGAAUAGCCAAACAUUUUUUUUCUAAAUUGAGGACCCAACACUCAUCAAAGGCAUCAGUACUAGUGACGAGACGUGGGUUUAUAAAUAUGACGUCGAAGCGCCCAUUCGAGGCUUUUAACAAGUGCACGGAAAAUUCGAUUGAGCAUUGACAUUCUGUAUUGGCUCAAAAGAAAUCUAUUUUAAAGCGACAAGUAAAAUUGUAUCAAAAUACACGAAAAUGUAGUUUUUUUGUCACUCCGUUUCAACUUUGAUGAGAUAAAUAUCAGUGAUUUGAGUAAGAAAAAAGACGGAUUCGACUGUUUUAAAGAUUUUGAAGAAACAAUUCAACAUUACGCGUGUUAGCAAAGCAGACAAAAAGAAUAUGGAUUAGCAAAUUGAACACGGAGUAUUUUUCCCCUUGUGAAAAUGUGGCAUUCAUUGAGAACUUCUGGCGUGGAUAGAGACCUUGCUGGACCUAUAAUGCAUGUGUGCAUGCACAAAAUUGCUGAUCAUAGGUUUUGUAUUCCAAGAGAGCUGAAUUUCACGCUUUCCUAAAAUACACAAACUCGCUCAUUGUUACUUAUCUAUAUUUUUAUAUUAUGUACGUG